ensembl:lncRNA
CGCCGUGACAGGGCCGAGCCGGGAGGGUUUGUCGCGGAGCGCGGCCGGGGGAUCGCCUCAGCUUCCCCCGCAGCCCGGCUCCGCCUGAGGGCAGCUUUCCCGCGCUGGAAGCCCCUCCCGCCUCACCGCGGCGCUCCCCCGCCGCGCCUCAGGCGGCCCCGAGCCCUCCCGCCGCUGUCUGCGCCCGUGGUGCCGUGGCGGUGUUGUGGCAGCUUUGCAGCGGUGUGGUGGCGGUGCCACGGCAGCGUUGUGGCGGUGUGGGAGCGGUGUGGGAGCGGUGCCGCAGGCGCAGGGCGCGCAGCUCCGCGCUUUGUUCGGCACGAGGCCGGUGGGCGCGGGGUCCCACACGCAGGCGGGCGGGCGGGCCGCAGCCGGGCCGGGAGCCCUCAGCGCUGCUCUCCGGGGACUCUCGCAGCCCCUCGGCCAUCUGCGGUCAGCGCGGACAUCUGGCAGGCAGCUGCAGGAGGUGAAGGCGGUGGGUGGGUCGGAUCGGGGCCGGCGGGUCGGAGUGCGCGCAUCUCGGCGACGUGAGUGACUCAGACGAGCAGGGUUCAAAAGCGGCAGCUGGACGGGGUACGGCGGGAGCCGUUGUGAAGCGCGGAGACGUUCGGUGGGGCCGCGCACGGCCGUCCCUCGGUUACACGUCUGCGGUCAGCCGUACGAAGGACGCCGUCUGCAGCCCGCGGGUUCAGCUGCCCGUCACAAAGCUCCGCUUCCCGCGCAGCGCGGCUCUGCAGGUGCCCUCUGACCUCGGCUGCACAAGGAACGCACGCCUUCCUCCCUGCUUUCUCCUGCGGACAAACGUGCAGUCUUUCUCUUGUUAGAUUUCCAGCGUCUCAGCUCGGAGACGGUUGCUAAAAUAUAACAAAAUACAAACGAUUCCAUAUGUAUAUGGAUUGGGCGGGCUAUAUUUUGGAAUAAGAUCGGCCUUCGAAGUCAGCCUGCCUGUCUGUAGAUGUUUAUCUCAGCCUGAGGUACAACCUGUGCAGAGCAGAAGAUCCCUUCUUACUGUAUGCAGUAAAUGGUGCCCUUCGCUGGGCAAAGUAUUCACUACAAUCUUCCCUGACGAAAAGACCCGUGUAGCUUCCUUAUAUGAGGAGUGUCUAUUUUAAGAAUGUGGAACCGUUCAAACUGAGAAAAGAAGCUGAACUAUAAAUCAGUCUUCACUCAUGACAGCAGUGUCUCUGGCAGGGUUCUAGUGAUCAUCCUUAGAAAGGUGAGGCUGUGCCUAUAUUCCCCUUUGGAAAUACAAGGCAGUUUGUCCAGUGGCUAGCACAGCAGAAGCUGGGGAGGUUUCCAAGGCAAAGACAGUGAAGUGCAGAGACUGCGAAGAGGUGCUAAAGUUGUUUUAUUUAUCUCCAUAUGCUCGUCUGUCCUAAGACUGCAUUUGCCACCAAUUCCAAGUUUUCAUCCUUUAUUGAUGGGUGUUCAGAGUUGCGACUGGGCAGUUAAGACUCGAAGGAGCUGCAUAUAGACACCCCAAAGCAACUACCCUUCUUCCCCCAAGCCAUCUCCAGACUGCAGACUCUUCUGAUACAUCCCUUAUUACAGUAAUCCAUAUUGCUGUCAUCUCUGCUGGAUGGUCUUGUGAAGAAUUCUCAGCUGACUCCAGGUUUUUGAAAAUAGAGAAUUGCAUUAGCACUUGUAUCCUGAGACAGUCCCUGUGCCAUGGUCUACACAGCCUAAUUCUAGGGGAAAAAAAUAAGUAUUUCAAAUAAUAAUAUACAAAACAGAGCAUGUUAAAAGGACUUACAGCCCUCUAUGUUUCCUGUAUAGCUCCUGCUAAUUUGUGCUCU